GAGGGUGGGAGACAUGGGCUGCAGCGGCACUCAGUGAUCCUACUGCCGUUCCUGAAGCUCCACCAGAUGCCAGAGCAUGUCUGUUUGAUCCCACAGUAACCCCCAGCGUUGCUUCAUGCCUCCUCUGAUCUUCCUGCUGCCACCUCUCAUCUCGAUCGUCCCUCCUGUCCUCAUGUUCAUUGGCCGCUUUCCUGUACUGUGAUAGUGUGUCCUUCCACACAUUCAGAUGGACUCUUACGUUGCAGGUCGACUGCAUGAUCUCAGAAAACAUUUCAUUGUGCGUGCAU